AUUUAAAUCUGGCAGUCUCUGGCUGUCCGAGUUGUAAUCUAGAGAAGCGUUAUCCGCGUUGGACCGUGUACAAGUCUCCUGGAAUGGAGCGUCAUAGAGGGUGAGAAUCCCGUCUUUGACACGGACUGCCAGGGCUUUGCGAUGCGCUCUCAAAGAGUCGAGUUGUUUGGGAAUGCAGCUCAAAAUGGGUGGUAAAUUCCAUCUAAAGCUAAAUAUUGGCGAGAGACCGAUAGCGAACAAGUACCGUGAGGGAAAGAUGAAAAGAACUUUGGAAAGAGAGUUAAACAGUACGUGAAAUUGCUGAAAGGGAAACGCUUGAAGUCAGUCGCGUUGGCCAGGGAUCAACCUUGCUCUUGCUUGGUGUACUUUCUGGUCUACGGGUCAGCAUCAAUUUUGAUCACUGGAAAAAGAUUAAGGGAAUGUGGCAUCUUCGGAUGUGUUAUAGCCCUUGGUUGCAUACAAUGGUUGGGAUUGAGGAACUCAGCACGCCGCAAGGCCGGGUUUUUAACCACGUACGUGCUUAGGAUGCUGGCAUAAUGGCUUUAAUCGACCCGUCUUGAAACACGGACCAAGGAGUCUAACAUGCCUGCGAGUGUUUGGGUGGAAAACCCGAGCGCGCAAUGAAAGUGAAAGUUGAGAUCCCUGUCGUGGGGAGCAUCGACGCCCGGACCAGACCUUUUGUGACGGUUCCGCGGUAGAGCAUGUAUGUUGGGACCCGAAAGAUGGUGAACUAUGCCUGAAUAGGGUGAAGCCAGAGGAAACUCUGGUGGAGG
rnacentral:rRNA from 1 species